rnacentral:rRNA from 2 species
UGGGGAAUUUUGGACAAUGGGGGCAACCCUGAUCCAGCAACGCCGCGUGAAUGAAGAAGGCCUUAGGGUUGUAAAGUUCUUUUGUCAGGGAAGAAAAGGCUUGUGCUAAUAUCACAAGCUGCUGACGGUACCUGAAGAAUAAGCACCGGCUAACUACGUGCCAGCAGCCGCGGUAAUACGUAGGGUGCAAGCGUUAAUCGGAAUUACUGGGCGUAAAGCGUGCGCAGGCGGAUAUGUAAGUUAGGAGUGAAAUCCCCGGGCUCAACCUGGGAAUGGCUUUUAAGACUGCGUAUCUAGAGUUUGUCAGAGGGGGGUGGAAUUCCAAGUGUAGCAGUGAAAUGCGUAGAGAUUUGGAGGAACACCAAUGGCGAAGGCAACCCCCUGGGAUAAAACUGACGCUCAUGCACGAAAGCGUGGGUAGCAAACA